UGCCAUUAAAAUUUACCAGUUGGGCAACUUUAUCCUGUCCACCAUUGCACUGCAGCGCUAAGUAAUGCCUACCUCAGUAAUGAGCAUGUGCGUUGGUACACUGUCAAAUAUAAUGCCAUAACUCUUGUUUAUUCUUGGCACAAGGCCAAGCUACCUUUCAGCCAUUUGUGCUAUAUAUAUAUCUCUAUAUCAAAAGACCCCAUCUUAAUGCAACCACCCAUCUUACUAGGUCAGACAAAUGCUAGAACACAGAAACGUUCAAACUUACCAUUGUUGUUGGUAACAGAAACAUCCACACUUAAAUAUCACAAAAAAAAUCCUUUGUAACUAGUAAUAUUUUUUCUAUGCUUCUUCUCGGCUAUGAACAAAUUAGCACGUUGGGGACCUUGGGGUUGAAAGCACAAGUCCUCUGUGACUUUCGGCUUCGAUAAAGGGUUGGCCUUGGGGAGAGGUGCACCAGGUGCAGCCGCUCAGGCUCCGCUCUCCCCAAGCAUAUCAGACUAGGUCCAAGGAAAACUCAGAGCCCAACAACGGAACGCAAGCGGUCUCUCCAAGCUCCAGCCCGCCCGCUCGUGCCGUCCGUCUCUCCCAGGCCCUAGACGACCACCUACGCGUCUACAUCUCCUCCACGCGAAAUGCCUUACUCUUGCAAAGCUGCAAUCCUUCUCCACUCAAAUCACCAUGUACCAGUAGAGUCCGAGGUUUAAAUACAAUCUAUAGCGUCGUCUCCAGGUCUAUGUAAACAUCAAGGCUCUAGCACGUACUUGCACCCCCAACGGGAGGUUAAGGUUAUUAGGGCUAUGAUUUUCUUGUUUCAUCCAUCCGAUCCUUCAAGUGUGAAUCUGUGAAGAGUUAGAGUCUGUAAAUAAUAGACAAAAUAAGUAGUAAGAAGUUGGCCCGGAUUCUUGAUGCUCAUAGUCAUAUGUUUUUCUACUAAUAAUUUAGGUGUUGUAAAAUUUGUGUUGCCAAGACAUUUGUCUGGCACUGAGAAAAAGGAACCAGUAGAAGAUCAGUUUAUUCAAUCACAAAAGCUGGCAUACAUAAGUUUUUUAUUUACCUUCAAGUAGUGUUCUUACUUAAUAAUUGACACCAAAUCUUAGGCAUCAGUACUUCAAUACAAGGUGGACUACUCUCCUGUAAUGGAUCGGUACCUGGAUUCAAACUUGUUGCAUUGCGCCUUAGGGC
rnacentral:lncRNA from 1 species